rnacentral:sRNA from 1 species
UAUACUCUGUUAUUUUUUUCUGAUUUCAUCUGUUACACCAAGCAUUACCAAAGGCAUCCCGUUCUACUUCCACUAGCUUCCUGUGAUAGCCGUCAUCUCCUCCGUGUAAAAUAUCACUUGUACUUCGAUCUGUUUUAAAAUUUCUCAUUUUGCAUUUCAAGCUCCCAGUCAGCCACCAGGAAAUGUUGUUUGGAAUGCCACAGACACUAAAGUGUUACUUAAUUGGGAGCAAGUUAAAGCCAUGGAGAAUGAGUCAGAAGUAACAGGAUAUAAAGUUUUCUAUAGGACUAGCAGUCAAAAUAACGUACAAGUGCUGAACACAAAUAAAACUUCAGCUGAACUUGUGCUGCCCAUUAAAGAGGACUACAUUAUUGAAGUCAAGGCCACAACAGAUGGAGGGGAUGGGACCAGUAGUGAACAGAUCAGGAUUCCACGAAUAACCAGUAUGGAUGCAAGAGGAUCCACUUCAGCCAUCUCAAAUGUCCACCCUAUGUCAAGUUAUAUGCCUAUAGUACUGUUCUUAAUUGUAUAUGCCCUGUGGUGAUAUUAACUCCUUUUUA